UUAUUGGCCAAAUGGCCAUAUUUUGGAGAUAAGUCAAGGAAGUAGCUAUGAUUUUGACAUAAUUCAUUGUCUGACUUUUGUGCUUCCUUCUAUCCGGUUAUAUCCUUUCAAAUAACAGCUGUAUUCAACACAUAUGAUGUAAGGGUAUGAUCGAGAGGAGUGGAUAACAGUUGUAAGUGUGUCAUAAACAAUUCUAACCUGACGACGAACUGAAGAUGACGACAAGUAUAUUCUAUACUGAUUGUAUGAGUUUCCAUACUAUAUACCGUAUGUGGAAUAGUAAUAUUAUAAAUGUAGUUCUAAGUGAAA